CUGCUGGAGGUGGAUAUGCACUCACGCACAAAACAUGGAUAGAGCGCGCUGUAAAGCGCUUUUACAGCGCCAAGAUUUAGCGCGCCUGUUGGAGAUGCUCUAAUGCUGCUAUCCCUAACCUAAAAAGAAAAGUGACGAGUGCCGCACAUAGAUUCCAGUCCAACCUGCCUCCCUCAAUUCGCGUCGUCUUCUUGACUUCUCCUCGCGUCUCCUCGUUCUACCCCAUUUGGCCAUUCCCCAAUCACAUCUGACGAUGGGCAGCGCUCUCCCGUCAAGAUUUACAUCAAGUUCCUCCUCCAUCUGCAAGGAACCCCCUCAUAUAUAUUCCUUUUAGGGCUUGAUUUCAUAAAGGCAAAAGGUGAAAAAAGAGGAGUAGUAGGCGAUUGGUGGCAGCGGCAGCCGGGAGGGCAGGGGCGGUGUAUGGCGACAAUUUGAUUGUCCGCAGUGGCAUUUGGCAGCCAUGAAUUACCACGACAGUCCAACCAAGGGCAACCUGCAGCAAGCGACAAUGAGCACGGCAGUUUCAUUCAUGCUCCAGGUGCUUUUCUUUCAAUUUAAUUUUAUAUCUAAAUCUUGCAGUGUAGUAUGUGUUUCAACAAGUCUAAGAUGUCAAAGUGCAUUUGUGGUUAUAAGAAGGGACAUAAGAGAGAUGUAUUGAACAAAUGUCUAUUGGAAAUUUAGAUGGGAUUGUGUGUGACGUUUCUAUAGUAAAUUUAGAGAAAAUUGUGUUGUUUAACAUGUCUAUUGAAGAUUUAUAUAGAAUUUUGUUCAAUAUAUAACAUGCUACUGAAAUAUAUAAAAAUCUGGAUAAUGUACAGGGGCCCUAUUUUUCUCUUGCACCGGGCCCCCGACAUCUCAGGGCCGGCCCUGUGUAUGAACUGAGGCUCGUAUGGAAAAAAGAGAAGCUAGGUCAAGCAGCAAGCAUCCACAUUUCAAAAUCUAACCAAUCACAACACCUUUUUGUUUCAAAUUUACUUAACACUAUUUCUAUUUUUUUUUAAGUCCAAAGAAACUAUUGUCACGGAGUUGGUCAUACCUGAAUCAACUCUAUGAUACGAUUUGGUGCAGAGAAAUGAAGAUAGCCCACAAGCAUCUCUAUGCUUGCAGUUUUCACCUCAAGGAACCAGAUGGAAUCAUUCAAUGAAACACCGUUCUCAACAACCAAUAUCUUCUCAUAAUUUACAAGAAUUGCUGAGUGCAACUUGGAUGGAGGCUGAGCCCCAAGUACUGUGGGCACAACCCUUCAAGUUAAUGUUCAGUGAAUUAAAGGCAGUUCUUUGGCCAAUGACGUUUGCUGGCACGCAAGCAUUGCUUCAUAUUACAAGAAAUGAGGGCGGACUAAGCAAACUGCAAGUAUUUUACCCUAUAAACAAUGUUACAUGUGUUCAGUUCCUUCACAUUCAAGCAAGCCUAAACUUAUUUUUACCUAUCCAAUACUUCUCUGUUCUAUAUUGAUUGUUGCUCUUGUACCAAAUCAGAGACGACUAUAUGAAAGAGAGACGUUACUAUAUGUUGUGA